AUGACGGACUUUGAUCUCAAAGCCCGUGAAGACUUCACAACAGAGCUCUCUGCCUCCACCUCUGCAAGGGUCACAAUGCUCUCCCCAACCUUACUCCUCUGGCUCCUACUUCUCUGGCCUCAAGAAUCCCAGGCAGCCAGUAUGAUGACCCAGUCCCCAACUUCCCUGUCUGUGGGUCUAGGAGACACAGUCACCAUCACCUGCAAGGCCAGUUCCAGCAUUGGCAGUAGGAUGGCCUGGUACCAGCAGAAACCAGGACAGUCUCCCACGCAUCUGAUCUAUGAGGCUUCCUCCCUACAUUCUGGGGUCCCUGCCCGGUUCAGUGGCAGUGGCUCUGGGACAGAUUUUACCUUCACCAUCAGUGCUGUGGAGGCUGAAGAUGCUGCAGAUUAUCACUGUUUGCACUAUAGUACCUAUUCUUUCCCACAGUGUUUGAACCCUGAACAAAAACCUCCUCAGGCUGCUCAAUCCUUCAGUAUAUAG